GCGUAAAAAACUUUGCACACCAUUCUUCCUCAUGCACAAAAUUAUUUUGCAUAAGACUUUUUAUGCCACAGAGUUCUUUCCCUUAUCUAUCUCACUUCUAAAUUUAUAUAAAAUCUGAUUUUAUUUGGUAUAUUCAAAUCUGAUUUGAAUUGAAUACCAUAUAGAUAAUGUUUGACAUUAUCUACAAAAUCUUAUCACUAGAUUAUUUUUUUCUCCU
rnacentral:lncRNA from 1 species